GCCUACAGAGAAAGCACAUUGAAAGCACCAGAAUCCCAAUGGAUAAAGUUAACCAAUGUUGCGCGUGGUUGUUAUCAGGAUGGGUGACCAUCUGUGCGUGUGCUGUUGGCU
rnacentral:rRNA from 1 species